rnacentral:lncRNA from 1 species
GUUAGUUGGUUUACACCCUAUGUAAAUAAAGGAGUGGCCCACAACCAGUCUAAUGGGUUGUGGAAGGUGACGAGUCAGACUGAAGUGAAGUUACCAAGUAAUACCCUAUGCAGAUGUCUGAUUGGUUGUAGGAAGGGGACCAAUCAGAGGUACUUGCCAUUUCUCAUCUGCGAUGCAGAAAGGGGUGCGGGUUGCAAAGGGAGUAGCCUCUGUUUUUUUGUUACUUAAGCAUGGGAAGUUGGAGUUUUCCUUUUGAUUCAUUUCUAGGAAGUCGGUGCAAACUGGCCCUGCCUCCAGACCCUAUUCUCCAGCAUGAAUUGCAUCUCAUCAAUGUCAUUUUCACUUUUGAUGAUGAAGGCUGAUUACCUUGUAGAGAGAGAAGUCAUAGGGAUGUUAUGUCCAUGGAGCGUGGCCUUAAGUGGACCUAUUUCUUGGGGUCUCCAGAUCUGUUUGGAACUUCAAAAUUAUUCAAGAAAAGGUGUCUCAUCAGCAGAAGACUGAACAGUUUUACCUAAUGGUAUCUUGAGUAGAAAUGUAACCUAGAAGAGUUUAUUGAAAAUCCUCCUGGCUGAUGCUUAUUUCUUGGAAUCCUGAGUCUUACACUUGCUACCUAAUAAAAAGAAGGAAGAUUCUUCUCAGCAAGGAAAAGUUCAAAGAAGUGAAAUGUGAUAAAGUUCUUCAUUAUCUCCUUAUUUGUAUGAAGAAAACUUCUCAGGUGCAGUGGCUCAUGCCUGUAAUCCCAGCACUUUGGGAGGCCAAGGCAGACAGAUCACCUGAGGUAAGGAGUUCAAGACCAGCCUGGCCAACAUGGUGAAACCUCGUCUCUACUGAAAAUACAAAAAUUAGCCGGGCAUGAUGGUGCAAGCCUGUAAUCCCAGCUACUUGGGAGACUGAGGCAGGAGAAUCGCUUGAACCUGGGAGAUGGAGGGUGCAGUGAGCCAAGAUGGUGCCAUUGCACUCCAGCCUGGGUGACAGAGCGAGACUCCCAUCUCCAAAAAAAAAGAAAGAAAGAAAAUUUCUCAGUGUUUCCAUUUAUAAAACUAAAAAAUAGAAAUAAAAUUGAUGUUGGCCUCUAUCUUAUUCUAGAAAUAAGUCACACAACACAUGAAACUACUUAAAAAACAAAACAAAAAUUCUGCUCCAUUUAUUUGAUGAGAAGCCACAAAUCCUUAAAAUGUUUUCUCUUUGUGUCAAUUACAUUAUUUAUAAAAUUAUGUUAUAUGUUUAGGUUGUUUUGAUCAAUUGAAUGCCUAUAAGAAGUAAAAUAAUAAGUGUAUCUGAAAGAAAUUUUUAACCUUUAGAGCAGCUCUGUUCAAUAGAAUGUCCUGCAUCAAUACUAACGUUUUCUAUCUGUAUCCACGCAUCAACUACUGACUAGCCACUGUGGCUAUCGGGCUCUUGUGACUAAUAUGGGGAAACUAAGUUUUUAACUUUUUCAUUUUUGUUCAUUUAGAUUUAGAUAGCAACAGGUGCUAGUGGCUACCAUAUUGGGAUAGUGCAGAUUUACAGCCUUAUGAAUACAGAGAAUAAAGCAAAUUUCCAGUUCAUAUGCAUAUUUUUCUUGUAUGUAUACAAAAAAUGUAUGAUAGGGGAAUAAGUAAAAGGUUUAAAGACUACUAUAUUUUUACAUAAAUACCUUAUAUACAUUUAGAUUAAAUCUUGUGUGGUAAUAGGUUGAAAAUCUAGAUUCAAGGGGGAAAAAGAUUUAAAUUUUCCAAAUGUCAGAGUACAUCAUGCUCAUCUAGUAUAUUUUCUAACUGGAUCAUGUGAAUAUUAAAUCUUUAUAGUAUUUAGAUUCUUUGGACACAGUUAAAAGAAUAAUGUAGCAGGCUUUUUUUAAUGUCAAUAUUUAUAAUGUAUAAGGAUUAUAUCCUUAAUGUUCACAUUUCAGUGAUUCCAAGGGACAUAUUUUUCAUUUUAACAUCUGUUAAAUUGGGGUGUAUCUUAUAAAAAUGGUAAGCAUUUAUUUUUUCUUAUCUGUUCAUAAUACUGUGAAAGAAAUAUAUCUUGCAAUCAAUGGACUAUUAGAUUCUAUGGGCUAUGACAUUUAAACUUAAGAUAAAAAUUUUAGAUAUCGACUUGAAAAUGUGUAGGGGUACAUAGUUCCUAAAAAUUCUGCAACUAUGUGAGCAAAAACAUUUGUAGACCAAGGAUGUAGAUCACUUCCUGCUGAAGUUCAGUGUUUUCAUCACAGCUUCUUUGCCUGCACAGAAGAGAGAGUUGCCUAAGCCGGUCGGGAAGGGGUUGGGAAUUGGAGCGUCAUCAUGUAAGAAUGUGGGCAUCUCAAGAGUGUAAGUGCAGAGUGCUCAGCACAGCCUGGUCUCAGGAACUGGAAAAUUCAUCUUCCCAGGACCUCUCAUCAUUUCUUACGGGCCAUAAACUUUCUCCUCUCUGGUUUUCUCUUAUAUCUGUCCCCACUUUCCUGAUUCUCUUAGCAGAAAGCUUUCUCCAUUCAUCCAUCAAGGACCAGAUAAUAGCCUCAGACCUGAGUCUAUGCAACCUUCCAGCUCCACAGCCCACAGCUGGCUGCUCUCAAUUACUCGCUGUUCCCAAACCAAAGAGAGGGUUCUGAUUUUUCCAGCUCAGAUGAGACGUCCACUCCUGAUCUAAACAGUUGGGGCUUGGAUGGAUACACCAUUUAUGUAAUGCAAACAUCGCUGGGGGAGGCGAUUAGUGGGUGGAAGCAGUUCCUGAAGAUGAGAGCUGUGAGUAGGAAGGCAGCCACAAACAUAGCAACGAGGGGCAGCAGUUUCAAUAGCUGACAUCAACAUUGUUCCUACGAUUGCUAGGCACCAUGCUAAUGGCUUCAAAUAGAUUAACUCGUUUAAUCCUCAACACAAACCUAGGAAUGAGGUUUAAUAUCCACAUAUUAGAGAGGAGGAAACUGAGGCACAGAAUGUUUAACUAAUUGCCCAAGGUCAAACAUUUGAUAAGUGUCAGAGCCUGGCUCUGUCAACCUGUCAAGCUAAACUGCCUCAGCAAUUUCCUCUCUUUGUCUAGAGACUUGCUUAUGACAACAGCACUAAGUAUAGAGUAUUCUGUAUCAGUAAAUAGUGCCUAAUAGGGAAAAAUGGUAGCAACCAAAAUUUAUCAUAUGACUAAAAGCCAUAGGAUAUUUUGGAAAUUAGCAGGCAAGGAGAGAGGAACUAUAGCAUUUUUAAUACCUACUUCACUCCUGGCACUUUAUAUGUAUUACAUUUUAUACACACUAUAGUAGAAGUAAGUAUUAAAACCUCAUUUUACUAUUGAAGGAACUGAAGGUCAGAGGAUUGAGUAACUUACCCAUGGUCCCACAGCUAAGAAGCAACAGAGUCAGAGUCCUGACUCAGGGCUGACACCCAGGCCUGCAGAUUUUCCUGUACAUCCCUCUGUCAGAUUAGUGUCAAGUCAAAUAAGGUGACAUGCAAGACAGAGAAUAAUUCAGUCAAUCAUGAAACAAACCAAAAUGAGAGUCAACUUCCUCAAAGCAAAGUCAUUUUUUAAAUUCACUUACAGAUGUGUGCUUGAUUAGUCUGAUUAAAUAUAUAUACUCUCUAUAUCUUUUUGCCUCUACAAGCAUCAAUCUAGCUGUUCCUUAAUUCUGUUACACGUAUUGAAGUUUCUACUGAAACAAGGAAGAGGUUUGUCCAAUUCUUUCCCUAAGACAUGACUGCUGGAUAAAGUUUAUUUUUGCUCUGCCCUUCCUCGUAGCUGGCUCUUUGCCUGUUGAUUUAAAAUGAAUUUUCAGGGGCUCAUAGAACAAGAAGAAUUUUAACUCUUAAAAAUUAACCACAAAGACAGGAACAGAUCUUUUUAAAAUACCUUGUUUAAUAUUGGUACACUGUGAGGGGUUAACAAAUGAGAAGUAGGGUCCUAUUAGUCUCUUAUCAUACUAAGAAACCAUCUUGCCAUACUUAGCUUGGUAGUCAUUGCAGAUAGAAUGUGCCAUCUGUGAAUGGAAUAAGCACAAACCAUUUGAACUACAGGGUACUCCAAAAGCCUUUUUUGAGUUCACUUACAUGUUGUAUUUUUUAUUUGUUCAAUCUUGCAUUCACUCAGCUCAUAAUACACCUGCUCAGCUGUAACUGAGAUGGAGAUAUCUCACCAAUAAAGGCAAGACAGGAAUUCAGAGCACUGGGUUUAAAUGUAAAAUCAAAAAGUAGUGGGGCCCACAUGCGUGAAUGAGCCAGAGGAGAGGUGGCACCUGGCCAGCUGGACUCCCAGUGCAACUGCCUCAGUGGGGAAGCAGCGUGUGCGUGACAGAGUAUACCACGUGCCAGAUGCUAUGCAAGUCUUCACCUGUGUCAUCUCAUUGAGUGUCCCCUUCACAGCAACCCUUUGAGGGAGGACUUCAUAAGCCAUGUGUUCCAGAUGAGGAAACUAAAGCUAAGAGAAGGUAACUAAACUGAUUAAACUGAGGGGUUACACAGCUAGCAAGUUGACUUGGCUAUAAGUCAAAAUCAGUCCUGAAUAACUCCAAAAACCACAUUCCUCCUACUUCACCAUGAGACCUUCCACUGAUACAACCCUCAGGGGCUCGUCAGAGGAAUAAGCAACUAAGAAUUAUUCAUCAAAACUUCCUAGAAGAAUCCCUGCUUAUAGUGUGUUAAAUUGUAUUUCAUUAGCAGAGCUGCAUCUCAUUCCUGGCCUCCCUGCUUCUAUGCCCACACAUCAUUGUGUUUACUCUCUUACUAAGACCCGAUUUCCCAUACAAUAAUAUUCUAGGGCUUACCCUGCAUAGGGGAGGAAAGACAUUGAGGGGACUUGAGACUCACUGAAAGAACUAGGUUUUGUAGGAGAUCAAGAAGGGGCAAGUCAAAGUAAUAGAAGAAAAAUUAACCUGAGAAAGGGGGAGGGAACUUUUUCUUCUGAGAUAUGAAGGAAACAUGAGAAAACAAAUUUAAAGCCAGACUCUGGGAGGUAGAGUGUUCUUAGAAAGGAAUCUCAUAUAAGAGAUAUUAUGUAUGAAAAAACCUUUCAAAAAGAUGCUACACAGACAUAGGAUCUUUGGGCAUCUGCCAAGAGUCAUAAAAGAAAAUCCGGCUCAAGAGAUGAAAGUAAUAUUCUGUAAUAAUGAGAAUACUCACCAUGCUGGGCUCCUGUGCUGUGGAAACACUCAUUCCAAAGUAAUGUUCAUGUGUGGGACACUGAGAUACACCACCCAGACCUCCCUGAAAUAAGAGCUUGUUGUCCCAGCUGCUGGAAGUCUGUCAACAGACAGCCUUCAGCUGCCAUCCCUUCAGGCAAGCUGCCUUGCUCAUGAUCAAGCCCCUCCUGGGCAGCCCAUAUCUAGUGACUAAUAGCUUUGGAGUAAGAAGACCUUGCCAUCUGGCUCAACUCUAGCAAGACCAUUCUAGCUCAAGAGCUCUCAUGAGCUCAGCCAGGCCGUCACUGGGCCUGCACCACAUUUCAACUUCUUCCUCUACCCAGUUCUGCCUUAGUCUCUUCCUGUGGAAUGCAUAGAUCCCAAGGACCCUCCUUAUAAAUAUCCUGCACACUAGAUUCUAUCUCAGAGCCUGCUUCUGCAGCAGCCCAACCUGCAGUAGUACUUUUUAUGAGCAAGGGGCCAAGAGCAAAACAGAAAACUGGUAUCCCCCUAAGUCCAUUCAGACUAUCAUAAGACAGCACAAAAUUGCUCCUUCUCGGGCUUGGGUAACUGUUUAAGCAGGUCUCUGCUAGCUGAGUUAUUACCAAAUCAGCCUGUCAUACUGCAAUAUUCUUCUUUGCAAAGAACUCACAUGAUUUAUUCUUAUUUGUAAAACUUUGUGAGAUUAGGCUGUUUCGUCUUUACACAUAUUCACUUAACAAGAUUUAGUAAACACCUACCCAGGCACUGCACUAAGAACUGAGGGAGUGGAAAUGAAAAAAAGUCCCAGCCAUUACCAGGCUCCCAGAUGAGUAGAGGGCACAAACUCCAAAACACAUGAGACAUACAGUGGAAGCCUGAACACAAUCUUUUGUGAGUCCACAUGAUGGCAUAAUUUGGAGUUUCAGGAUGGCAGAAGAGGAGGCCAGAAUACACAAGCUAUUGCCUUCAUUGCAGGCAUUUGACCAUAGUAAUGAGCAAUACAGACUCUGGAGUGAGACUAUGUGAGUUUGACUCCUGCCUUCAUCAUCUUCUAGUUCUCCCUAGGUAAGCUAUGACAUAGCCUCCCUGGGUCUCGAUUUGCUCCUCUAUGAGGUAGCACUCAUAUUAAUGUAAACCAAAAGUACCUGAGACAGGUCUGAAUCAGUUUAGAAAGUUGAUUUUUGCCAAGGUUAAGGACACACUCAUGACACAUCCUCAGGAGAUCCUGACAUGUGCCCAAGGUGGUGGGGUACAGCUCAGCUUUAUACAUUUUAAGGAGAUAUGAGACAUCAAUCCAUACAUGUAAGAUGUACAUUGGUUCAGUCCAGAAAGGCAGCAUGACUUGAAGUGGGAGCUUCCAGGUCAUAGGUAGAUUAGAUUUUCCAAUUGGCAAUUGGUUGAAAGAGUUAUUAUCAAUAGAAAGGAAUGUCUGGGUACAAUAAGAGGUCAUAGAGACCAGGGUUUUGUCAUACAGAUGAAGCCUCCAGGUAGCAGACUUCAGAGAGAAUAAAUUGUAAAUGUUUCUUAUCAAACUUAGAGUCCGUUCUACCAGUAAUUCCAAAAGGGAGGAGGGUAUAAUGAGGCAUGUCCAGCUCCCCCUUCCCAUCAUAGCCUGAACUUGUUCUUCAGGUUAAUUUUGGAAUGUCCUUGGCCAGGAGGAAGGGUUCAUUCAGAUGGUUGAGGGGCCUUAGAAUUUUAAUUUUGGUUUACAUUAGUCAGCUUGGGCUACCACAACAAUAUACCAUAGACUGAGUGCCUUAAACAGUGAAUAAUUAUAUCUCACUGUUCUGGAGACUGGGAAGUCCAAAAUCAAGGUGAUAGCCAACUUGGUUCCCCGGUGAGAAAUUCUUCUGACUUUCAGAAAUUCUUCUGCCUUUUCCCUGUGUCCUCACAUGGCAGUGACAGGAGAGGGAAGCAAGUUGUCUGGAGCCGCUUCUUAGGGGGGCCCUAAUCCCAUUAUGAGGACCCCACCCUCAUGGCUUUAUCUAAACCCAGUUGCCUCCCCAAAGGCCCAUCCACAAAUACCACUACACUGGGGGUUAAGGCAUCAACAUAUGAUUUCUGCAGGGGUGGGGAGGCACAAUUCAGUCCAUAGCAGCAGGACAAAUAGUGUUUUCCUCACAAGAUUGUUGGGUCUUAAAUGAGCCAGUAUAUAUAGAGUGCCUAGAACAGUGGCUGCCACAUAUUAAAUGCAUUAUUUGUAAGUGCUAGCUGUUAUUAUUAAAGCCACAUAAGCUGAGUCAAAAACUGGGAAAGGUCAAGUGUGUCAAGGCCUCACUUGCUGGGAUGUAUUUCCUUGGGGUCAUAUUGCUUCUCAAUGGAAGGGAGAAAAAUGAGCUUAUUCUUGAGAAUUAAGAAUGGGCCUAUUUUCAUGCAAAUAUUGGCUUGGAGAGCCCCUUUGCAAUCAAUUAUUACUAAGGUGAAAAUCCUGAACCUCUCUACUCUCUGUGCUUUCAUACCUUCCCGCUGCAUUCUCAUCUUUCACUUGUGAUCAAAUGCCUAACAAUCUCAGAAACAUGUCCACUUAGGGGAUUACUCUUGUUAAAGAGUAUUUAGCUUUUAAUCCCACAAGGCACAAGCAGUUUGAAAUAUAAGACAUCAUAGAAAAAGAAGUAUUUAGCAGGGUUAAUCUUGGAGGUGAGAGGUGAAAAGGGGCGAAAUGGAAUCCAAAGGAAACCCAUCUCAAUGAAAAUAUGAGUUUUAAGAGGGGCAAGCAAUGGUUAAUUUUUUCAGCCUAUCAGUAGCUCUAGAAUGGUGUACAAAAAUGUUUUACUCAGCUCCCAUACCUUCUUCAUAGAGAAUACAUUGAACUUCAGCUUAUUUUCUACUGGAGGCACGCUGCUGGAUUAAGUUCUGCAUUCAGGAGUUGUGGCAUUCAUGUCCUUGGUUAAGCAAACGGAGAUUUCAAAAUCCUUUAGGCUGGAAGAACUGGGUCCUUCAUCCCUUUUUUAAAUUCUUAAGUCUCAUUCCUUGCUUGUUUCAUUUAGGCUGCUGAAUUCAUUGGCAAUUGUUGACAACUUGACUGUUUUGAUUGUUUCCAUCUUAGACAUUUCCAUUGCUGUUAGACUAUAAAGUUGACAGCCCAAAUCCUAAAAUACCUGGUUGGCCCGUUCAAUCUAUUUCUUUCCUGCUUAGUCCUCCUUUAGAAGGAAUGAAGCAAGAUGUUGUAAUUAGAAUGGUGAUGAAAAAGUGUGAACAUACACUGUCAAUAGGGGAGUGGAAGGCACAGGUACUCUCAUGCAUUUUUUAAAAUAAGAGCUUUAUCGAGAUAGAAUUCACAUAUCAUAAAUUCAUCCGUUUAAAGUAUAAAAUUCAGUGGGGUUUAGCAUAUUUAUAGAUGUAGGAGCAUCACCACUAUCUGAAUUCAGAACAUUUUCGUCACACCGAAAUGAAAUCCUGCACCCAAUACCACUUACUCUUUAGCUCCUUCCUUCCCCCAACCCCUGGUGACCAUUAAUCGAUUUCUGUAUGGAUUUGCCUAUGCUAGAUAUUUCAUGAUAUAGGAAUCAUAUAUUCUGUGGUCUUUUGUGGCCUUCUUUCACUUAAUAUUCUCAAGGCCUCAUAUAUUCUUGAUAGAGUAUGAAUUGGCUCGAUAUUUGAAGGAAAAUAUGUCAAUAUCAAUCAGAACUUAAAGUACAUGUACUCAGAAAUUUUAUAUCCAGGAAUUAAUCUUUCAGAAAUACUUCCACAGACAUAAAAAUAGUUAUACAAAGACAUUUAGUGCAGCAUUGACAAAGACUGGAAAAACUCUAAAUUCCAUCAGUUAGAGAGGCCUGGUUGAACAGAUUGUGGUUCACCUCUGCAGUGGAGUGCUAUGCAUUCAUGCACAGAUUGAAUCAGUCCUGUAUGGAAUGGCGUGGAAUGAUCUCCAGAAUUUAUUGAUAAGUGAACAUGAGGGAACAAGACAAGGUACAGAGCAGUGUGUGAAGUUCUAUCUAUGUAAAAAUAUGUAUAUGUUAUGUUUACGUGUGUAUAUGUAUUUAUGUGUGUGUGUGUGUGAGUGUGUGUGCGUGUGGAGAGAGAGAGAGAAACGGAGCAAGAAGAAUAUCUAUCUCCGGUAGGAAGUCUAAAAAUGCACUAGCAGUGGUUAUCUUCAGGGAGGGAAAAUGGGGGUCUGGAGACAGGGAGCGGAAGAGAGGAAGGGUAUUGUUUGAAAUUUACUUACCAAGUACACAGAUUCUGAACAUUUUAAAUAGAGAUGUGUAUUAGGCAGCCACAUGGGCAUAUUAGGGUCUGGGGACCACGCAGGAAAACCCACAGCCUCUUUCCUGCAGGGUUUUGUGGUCAGUCACAGUGGAGACUGACACCCCUGUAAAGACAAGUUUCAGUGAAACAUAAAGAUCUGUAAUUUGAAGCUCAAAGAUUUCUGUUCUUAUCUUGCCAGAGGCCUGUUUUCACCUGCACAGCAUUUCUACCUGCCCAUGAAAGGCAGACUUACGCACUUUGAUGUCAAAGACCAACCAGAAAGGUAACUUUAGAGAUGCUCACCCGAACGCCCCCUGUGCACUGCCUCUCUUCAAUGAUCCUGACCUCAUCGUACCUUUUGGGAGUGGCUCUGAGUCUGUGUUUCCACCACUGACUCCUUUGAAGAAGAUCGUCAGCCUUGGGUCUGGAAUGUAGCCCAUUAAUGUUCCCCUUGACCUUUGGUGGAAACGCUGCCAUUUCCUGUCCUGGUUCCUCAUCUUCUCUCAUGUGCCUAAACACUGACCCCAAGUGGGAGAGAAGAUACAGUCAAGUUCUUCGCCUUGACACUGUUCUCUGCAAAGUCAAAGUCACUUUCAGUCUUGAUUUUAACCAGAGCUUAUUUCCUCCCACCAGUGUUGGGAUGAAAGUCAAAGAUGAAGUGAAAGACAGAUUGUGUAACUUUUAUUUUUAAAAGAGUGUUUAAUUUUGGAAGGUAUGAUUAAUAUUUCAAUACUGCUUCUAAUGGCUUCAUUUAUUUUUUUUUCAGCCAAUAAGAAGUGAGAAAUCCUGUCUCCGUAGCCAAAAUCUCAUAUAAUUCCUCCCCAGCAAUACAGAAGUCUCUCUGUUGCUACCUAGAGUAAAAAUGUCAAUACACAUCAUGUAUUAAAAUUCACCUGUAUUUUCUCAACACCUUUUCGAUAUCUUUCCAAAUUGCUUUAGUAAUCUCUGGCAUCAAGAACUGGUAAGAGUAUGUGGCAUUUUCCUUCCUGUUUGAGUAACACCUAUUAAGAGAGGUGGCAAUUAAAAUCAAAUUGUAAUUUUUAAACCUUAAGGGAAGCUAUUGCAGUAUUGCUAAGAACAUUCAGUUACCGGUAUGUUAGCUAACACCUACACCCGCUGCGAUUAGCGAUGAAACAAACUUCUACGGACCUUAAAAAACCAAACGUCUCCUUUAAAAUAAUCAUCCUAUGAGUAAACAGUCCUGUUCACACAUGUAUAUGAGAUGUCAUCCUUUCUUUGCCGUUACAGCGCUCCGCCUUGCCAAUGCUGCUGAGCACUGACUCACUCACAGGGCAUUUGGAAGGUGGGCGAUUUGUUCCUGCAGCAUCAUUGCACUCCAAAUGUGCUGAGAAUGGAUGUAGCCUCCAAUGCUGCCGUGCCAGCAGCAGCUUAGAUCAGAGGGAUCAGCAGAGGCUAUUGUCCAUUCCUCAGCAAUGCACUUGACCUUGAGAGCUAUAUAGAAUGGAAGGAAACCCACUAAAGCCAAAUUCAUGUCCUAAGAUUUAUAUCCUUUUUAGGGAUCCCACCCCUGGAACGUAAUUCAGGUCCAAAUCCUCUUCUUCUCCUUUCCAACUGCCACUGCCUUAGAGUAGUGGACUUAUCUCCACCUGCACAUUUUAGAGUCACUUGGGGCAAGGCAGGGGGCAGACGUUAAAACAUACCAGUGUCAAGGUACCAUCCCAGAGACUCUAAAUUAAUUAGUCUGUGUUGUGCCUGAAAUGAGUACUUUUUAAUACCUCCCUAGGUAUUUCUAAAGUACAGCUAGGACUGGAAACCACUGGAGUCCAGCACAAGCCUUUCUCAUUUCUUUCCUGGUUUAUGGCAAAUGCCUCCUGAAUGCCCUUCAUCUUUUGUGCCUGAGGCUAAUCACCUUUAAUGUGUUAUAAUGAUUGAAUUAUUUUUGUAUUAAUCCAUGUUUGAUGUAGAAAAAUGAGAAAAUAAAAAGCAGAAUGAAAAAAACUACAAUCAGAAAAAUGAUACAAUAUUUUGUCUUUCCUACUGGAUUUUUUAUGUACAUAAAAUAACUAUUUUCAAAAAUGAUAUCCUGCUAUAAUUCUCUGUAACCUUCUAUUCUUUGUUAACAAUAUAUUAUGGGUAAAUUUCCAUGUCAGUAAGUAUAGAUUCAUAUUAUUUUUAAUGGCUACAUAGCGUCUGAGUGGGUGGCAGUGCCUUUGUAUUUUUUAACCAAUCCUUUGUUUCAGGGUUAGGCAUCUACAUUGUUUUGUGGGUUUUUGUUGUUGUUUGUGUUGUUGUGUUUUUUUGUAUUUUGUUUAGCUAUUACAAACAACAUUGAAAUGAGCCAUUUGGAAAAAAAUUUUUUUGUGAGUUGGCCAACUUCCUUAGGAUAUAUUCCUAAAAGUAAAUUUGUUAAAUCAGUAUAUCUAUUAAUUUUUAAGAAUUCUGACAUUUGUUACAAAUUGGUCUUCUAAACCACUCAUAUACAGGUAGUACUUAAGAGUCUGUUCUUCUAGUCCUUCACUAACGCUGGCAUUACUGUAUUCUUUUUAAAUCUUUGUUUAAUCUGGUAAGUAAAGAAUGAUAGCUACCUAUUUUAAUUUGUUUAGAUUACUAGUGAGUUUGAACAUUUUUCAUCUGUUGUUUUUUGGGGGAAACUUUUGAAUAUCUCCUUUUGCAAAUAUCUUAUUUUUGUUCUAUAAGGCAUUUUCUUUUUCUUGUUUGUAUGUAUGAGUCAUUUCUAUAUCAAGGCUAUUGAAUAUCCCCCAAUUUGUCCUUUUUACUUUUUUUAAAACUUUUAUCCUUUUAACUUUAGUGGUUUUGUGGUUUACUUUUAAAUCUUUAUAUAUUCAAAUCUAUCCCUCUUUUCUGUGUGGUUUUAACUUUUCGAUGCCAUAUGUUGAAAGCUUUUCCCCAAGUUAAAAGUAUAUACUUACCUAUGUUUUUUUCUAGUACUUUUAUGGUUUUAUUUUUUAUGUAAUUAAAUCUUUGUGGCUAACUCUUAAAGUACAAAUAUGAUCAUGCCACUCCCUAAGACCUUUGCCGUCUCCCCAUUGUGUAUGUGAUACAGUUCAAGUGUCCUCAUGCCCCACACAUUAUCUGGUCACCCUUUAGCUUGCAUGUCCCUCUCAUCUUUGCUCAUAGAGCUCUUUUUUUCUCUGCAAUACUUUUUUCUCUGCAAUACACUAUGAGUCUUUUUCUCCAUGUAUAAAUAGGCUAUUACUUCAAGUUCCAUGAAAAUAGAGAACAUGACUGCUUUGAUAAUCUCAGCACCCAACAUAGUAUCUGGAAGAAAAUAUAUACUCAAUAUUUGUUAAAAGAAUGAAUAAAACAUUACCUCCCCUGGUAACCUACCUCCAAUGUCUCUGGGCAGAAUCUGUCCUUUUUCUAUUGCAUUCCUAAAACACAUCAUUCUGAUCACUGUUAUCAUAUGAUGUCAUCAUAUUGUAUUAUAAAUCAUUGAAUCUUUGCCUGUAAAUCAGGCUCAGCUCACAUUUUUAUCCCUUGCUCCUUAGCAAGGUUGGGGCAUGCAGUGGGUACUCAAUACAUGCUGUUGAACUCAGAUGAAUGAAUUCUGACGAGGUCUCCCUGUCUUGCAGUACUGCCUUGGCAUGUCCUUGUGUUAAGAAGUAAAGACCUUGACAGUCUGUAAAAAGACAACUAAAUAAUUAGGUGACAAUACAUGUGCCCAGGUAAAAUCUACAGUCAUUAAUAUGGGGUUAAAAUAGUGCACAAUAAAAAUAGUGUCUCAGAGUAAUAGUGAAGCCAUGAUAGUAAUGCCUUCUGGCACCUGCUUCUGGGGCUAUCCAUUAUGUCAUUAAGAAUCAGAGCAUCAAUCUGGCCCAGAGCCCUAUCCCUGAAUAAAUUAAAAUUUUUAAAAAGACCCUCCAGAAUUAGUAGAGAAUAAUAGUAAGCUAACCAACUAACUUUUCUCCAAGAAUGUUGUAGCUAAGCAUUACUACGCUUCCUUUCAACAGGCAGUGAGAAUUGAGUUACUCAUACUGUUCCCCUUGGCUGCCUUUAACUUAGGGGUUUGAUACAGAUUUUUUUCCUAACCUUCAACUUUUUUUCUCCUUUUAAAAUAUUUUUACAGCUUUAUGAUAUGUCUGCCUUUCAUUACAAGCCACCUCAAAUCCCUUUAGACAGUGGAGUUUCUAUUAUAAAUAAUAAUAAAAAAAUUUCCUCUGCCUCAAUUCCCUCUGUCCCAAGUGCUCAAUGCAUGAACAACAUAAACUGAGGCUUUAAGAAAUAGGAUUUCAGCCCUUUGAGAAAGCUGUAUUACAAAUUGGUUCCACUUCAUAGCUUGGAAGAAAAUUGGAGUUUUCUUUGGAUGACAUCAAUGAUCAUAAUCUCUGACAUUUAACUGACCUUGGGCAUGUCAUUUUACCACUUCAAGUUUCAGUUUUCUUAUCUGCAAAGCAACAAUGCGGGUGGGUUCCUUCCCACCCCAGAACUGUAUCUAAUCAUCUUUUCCAGGAAGAUAGGGACAAAAAGACCACCCAGGCAGCACAGGGAAAGGAAUCUCCCCUUCUAUCUGGCCCCGUAACCCUACCUUCUGUCAGUUACUCUGCUGCAGAUAAAGGGUAGGGGAGUCAAUUCCCAGCCACAUACCACCCCAGGGCUGCUCUGCCAUUCAUAGCAGCUCCCCACCAUAAAGAAGCUGGAUGAUGAGCUGACCAAGCGUCCUGACUGGACUGCUGUUUAUGGCAUUGUGCUUUCAUUUGUGUGCCCAAGAGGCGACUAGCAAUAGGUUAACUUGGUGCUCCUACAAAGGAAAGUCUUUUGCUUUUCUUUCUCAACUAUAUCUUAGGUUUUAAUUAAUUAAAUUAAUAUGGGGCUUAAUAGCAGACAUGUUUUGGACCUUGGAGCCUGUUUACCCUCAUCUUACCCAAGGGGCACUGUGGACCCAGGCUAAGACGCUGCCAAAGAGUUUUCUGUGUCUAGGAGACAAAGCACACCCUGUAGCCUUCAGGAGUGCUGGGUUAUCCCAAGCCCACCAAAGAGCCUGCAAAGAGUGUGCUAGCAGGACUGGGAACAUUCGUCUCCUAGCUUUCUCUAAGAAGCAGGCACACUCUCCUCUUCACACUGUGGCCUAGGUCUGAUCAAAGGCGGUAGAGAAGGUAGCUUUCCCUUCCACAUCUGACCAACAAAAGCAGCCCCGGUGGGGGGAGACUGGAAGUGAGUAUCGCAGUGGUUCCUCAGCUUACCUUAUACCUUCCAGAUAAGUCAGUGAUACAUGCCACAGGGCUGACUGUAUUUUGAGGCCCUCCCAUAGCUCCAGAAGCCAGCCCAUUCUAUCAGGCUGUACUCGGGACAAAGGAGGCAGCCCCAGCCCAGGUACUUAAGUAGACACAGCAUUUGGCCUCAAGGUUAAGAGUACAGUCAGUGGUCCUAAACUGCCUUUUUUGUAGCUUGGUUAUGGUAACUUGAGUGCAAUUGUUUAACCUCUCCCUAUCUCAGUUUCUUCAUCAGAGAAAGGGGGCUGCUGUGAUAGUUGGUACGUACGGAGUAUAUGGAACAGUGCCUGGUAGGGAAUAAGUCCCGUAAAAGUUAAUCAUUUUAUAUACAUCAAAUAAGUCUGUUCUACCUCUUUUGUCCCCCCAGACGAAGCUCAUAGAAUGAUUCACAUUGAUAUUCAUGUUUAAGCCUUAAGCCUUUUUUGUUCUUCUAAGACUUCCUUUGGUGGUGUACAUUUUGAUUGUAUCUGCUGGAAUAACAAUGCUGAUGGUUGGUGGGGUUGGGAGGAAGGAUAGAGAGGGAGGGAGAAAUAACAUUAACUGCCUAAGAGAUUUCUCUGAAAGAGCACAUGAAUAUUGAAUGAUGACUUGAUUUUACCAACAAAACCCAUAAUUAUUGCUUUGCAUCAAGGGUGAGGUUGACUUAAAUCAUCAAGACUUGAGAAUGAACUCAUAAUCAGAAAACGUGGACUAUUAAGUUUUGUUUGCUUGCUUGUUUUUGCAUAUAUCUAACCCAAAUCUUGUGUUAUUUCAAAUGGUGCUAUAUUUGCCUAUGCUUGUAAAUUGAAUAACAUCAAUAUGCAAAACUGAUGCAUUUUUCUUUUUAGGGAGAACAUAAUCUCCCAAAGCCACUCCAUUGGUGAUGUGACUUGAUUUUUUUCUGAAUCAAGAAAUUUGGAUAAACUUGGUGAUUCAGAAGGAUUGAUUACUACAGAUAACCCACUUAUGCUUAACUAGGUCUUGAACCAUGAAUGCAUGAACUUUAAUUUGCAAGCCUCUUUCUCCACAGCUAGCCAUGGUUAGAGAGAGAUGUUAUGGAGGAAGGACGAGUAAAACUCCAAGUUAUUAAGGAGGAAAAAGAGGCUGCUUAGUUGAUUAAUCAUUGUAGAAGCCUCCAUCACAUUCAGCCUGGGAGAUUUCAUUCAUUCACACAAACGCCUGCCACUUUCUACACCCAGGAGUUGUAUCAUCCACCAGGCACACUAGAAAUGUGGUUAGUGCUACCAAGGACCUAAUGUUUUAAUCUGGUUUAAUUUUAAUUAAUUUAAAUUCAAAUAGCACAUGUGGCUAGUGGCUACUGUAUUGCACAGUACAGGCAUAAGAACAUUUCUACUCAAAUCUUCAUGAUGAUACGAUGGGCUUUAACAAACCCUUGAUAAUAAAAGGCAAAAGCUGCAAAUGUUAUAGGUCAAUAUUCUCUCCACAAAUCUUUAUUUUUAAGUUUUAAAAAUAUAACCCAAAUGUUUGUGUUCCCUCAACCUCUUCUUCAAGGUCCUAAGAAACAUUGAGGAAAGAGAUAAUCGUAGGAUAGAAUUUUUCUUUUCUUUUCAAGUACCUACAAUUCUCAGAUGUUAGACUGACUUCUUCCAUAACUGACUUUUAAAUCAAAGUAUCCAAAAAUGAAUAUGCAAAUACAUUGUCAAUGAUUUCAAUUCAGGAAGAAGCUGCUCCAAGAUCUCAUUAUUCUGAAUGACAUGGAAGAAUCACGUACACAUUGCCCAUUUCCUAUCUCAUUAUUUUCUGGUGUAGAACUGCAAAUCCCAUUAGCAGAUUUUCCUUCAGCCCCCUGAACAAUCUGUGAGUGACUCACACUUUAGAACAUCUUUGCUGCUGGAUUACUUUGAAAGGCAGAAGUUGGGACGGUGUCAGGGAUAGGCUGAAGAUGAGAGGAAUACCUAACACGUGCCUUGUUUGCAAAUUUUCAUUUCAGUCAUUUAAAAAGUAAUUAAGGAAAGAGGAUCUUGAUAAGAUAGAAUUCAACUCCCCUCUUUUAAUGGAUUCAGGGAAUGAGGAAACAUAAAGAUAAUCCAUCAUCGCAUUACUGCCAUCACCAGAGUUGUCUGUUUCAAAGAGCCUCUUUCCUUCACCAGGAGGACACAGAGCUUCGUGUGCUCAUUUGGGUGUCAAGAAAUAAUAAAAUGAUAAAUCUGCAGACUUGGAAACAGCAGCUCUCAGAUCAGAGCUGAAAAUGUCUGCUCUGUGUUCUGUGGGUCUUUGCUUCUUGUGAGUCCAGACACCUGUCACAAAACUAUGUGGCUGUGGGUGGCCCUAUUUGUAGGAUUUCUAAGCCAUCUGACCCUAGAUAAACCUUGGUGCUUUUUAAGAGCCAGCUUAGGUGCUGGACCAAAUGGUGAAAAAUUGCUUCCUGACUAAUUGAUGAGCCAGGGUGCUUUGAUGUUACAAGUGUGGUUGGAGCCUAAUGCAGCCAUAUCAUGAGGAACACUGUGUCAUCAGCGGGAUGUGGAAAACCACUCCUCAACUGCUUACCAAGAGGCAAACCGUCAAUAAUGAGAUGGUUUGGAAGCUGAGGUUAUGAGUCAUUCAUGUAGAUGCAGGUAGAGGCUGGUCCUAGGCCCCCAGCGACACUGAUAUAAAAGAAUUUAUAAGCAUGUAUUUUAGGACAAUUUUACAAAAUAACAGAAAAUAUCCAUUGAGUCCUUAGUGUGUUUUUCACACAUUAUCUUUAACCUCACCACACCAUUUUUGAUAGGUUCAAGUAUUUUUUUUCUCUUCCCCACAUGAAAGAAGCAUGACUUGGAGAGGUUAAAAUUCCCACCCAAGAUCAUGCAUUUAAAAAGUGAGAAAACCAAUAUUCAAAUUUAGGUCUUUCUGACCCCAGAGCCUGUGAUUUUUCUGUUUCACUAAGGCCAGUUGCAGAGAUAUGCUUGUCUCAGCUGUUUUCCAGUAUGAUGUAUCUGAAGGACAAGAGGAAGAAUUUCAAAAAAGUCUCCAAUUUUCUUGCCUUAGAGCAUCUACCGAAAGAAAAAAAAAAAUGAGAGAGAACCCAAAGUCAAAGAUAAGAGCCCUGGAAGAAUCUGCUCUGAAGAAUGGCCUUGGGGCCAACUCAGUAUUUACUCAAUUCAUAAAGGAACUGAGCUGGAGUCCUCAUUAGUUGGGUGUGUCCUUGGUAAACCAAUUAUUAAACCCUGGUAUGAGGGAUGAAAUGGCUUUGUGUUUAGUUUUUGGCUUUAUCAAUUUCUGAUGACUAUCCACAAAAAUUAUAAAUACAUAAACAUUUUUCUACAGCGAUUCUUCUUUCAGAAAAGUAACCUACAGAUAUACUUGUAUAUGUACUAAAGGAUGAAUGUACAAGGUUGUUCCUUGGAGCGUUUUGUAGUAAAAAAUAGGAAACAACCCAAGUUUUUAUCAAUAGAGAACUGAUUCAAUAAAUUAUAGAACAUCCAUACAAGAGAAUACUAUAAACUAUAAAGAAGAAUGAGAAAGCUUCCUAUAAAAUGAUACAGAAAGAGCUCUAGGAUAUAUAGUUAAUUGAAAAAAGGAAGGUAUUAAACAUUGUUUAUAACAUGGUAACUUUUGUGUAAAAGAAGUAAGAAGAAAAGAAGCUCAUGCUUCCUGAUAGAACAUAAAGAGACUAUGGAAGAAACUAAGAAUAGUGGUUACCAUGGCGCUGGAAAGAAAGAGCAUGGCAGAUGAGGGACAAGGAUGGUAUGGAGUGUUUUACCCGUUUUGGAUUUUCAAACAUGCAAAUAGUAUUCAAGGAAUAAAUCAAAAGAUGAAAAUGACAAGUCCUAUGCUAAAAGAUACAUUCUCUGAGAACAUAUUCACAAUAGGGCUGUGCUUUUUUUCUCUGAUGAAGAACACCAGACUCUUAAGCCAAUGGCCAGGGUCGAAAUGCUUACUUUGCCACUUCCUAACGGUGUUAAAUUUUCUGAGUCUCAGUUUUCUCAUUUUAAAUAAAAAAGAAGAAAUAACAUC